rnacentral:misc_RNA from 1 species
AGAUGGGCCGAGCAACCCGGGGGAAUGUCAGCCGCCAUUACCGAUACCAUGAUUCCCAUUUCAGAUCUCUGGUUUCCUCCUCUCGCUCUCGUCAACUCAGUCAAUUCUCUUGCUGUGCUUGGAUCAUCCGAAGAUUUGGUCGCGGUUCAGAAUACCGGAGAGAAUGUGUGGCGACCUGCCGUUAUUCUGUCCUCUUCGUGCUCCACAAAUCCGCUUUAUUUUCCUUUUGAUACCCAGACUUGUAACUUGACUUUCCGAGCUUGGGAUCACAUCCAAUCGGAAAUCACUCUUAAAGCUACAGAUACAAAAGUGAGACUGGACUUUUUCUCUCCAAGUGAGCAAUGGGAGUUGAGGGAUACGGAGAUAAUAUCGUGGGAGCGAGAAGACAUCUCUUAUCUAACAUUUUCAUUGAAGAUACGAAGAAUCCCUCUUUGGUUUGUUAUAAACAUGGCGGCACCUAUAGGAUUAUUAGGGCUUCUGACCACUUUUGUCUUUUUACUUCCAAUCGAGGAGGGUCGUGUCGGAUACGCAUUGGGUUCUUUUCUGACAUUUUCUGUCUAUCUAUCGUAUAUCAUAGACAGUUUACCUAGGACUUCGGACCCCAUGUCCUAUCUGACAAUAUACAUUGUUAUUCAGGUAAUAAUGAGCGGAAGUGUGUCGUGCAUAUCCGUAUUUACCGUUAAACUCUAUAUGAAAGAUGAAGAGGCAAGAAUCCCGAACUACAUGGCGCUCUGUAUCGGCUUUAUCUGCUGUAAAUUCUGUUCAAAGGAAGAAGAGAUUGAGAAAGAGAAAACAGCAGCCGAGCUUGAAGAAAAGGAAAAUGAUAACUUAGGGUUUUCUCCGGACGAAGAAAAUGAAAACCAACAAAAUCAAGAGUCAUCACCACAGCCGGAAGAACUACCGACGAGUUCGAAAUUUGGCGUUCCAAACAUUAAGUGGAAACCCAUGGACGCAGACGGCGCCGAAAUCUGUCCGGACGAAGAUCGCAUCGCAUUUCUCAACGUGGAAGUCCCGAGAGUUGGAUGGAAAAUGGUUGCAAAAACUAUCGAUAUUAUCUUUUUCUUGGGUACAAUCGCAGCACAUACCGUCCUCGCCUUCUUUUUCCUGUUGCCAAUUGUUAUACAAUAUUAAUUAUAUGAAAAUUGAGAUGGGUCGGAUGAACUUGAUCAAAACCAGUGUUUCUGUCUGGUGUUAUACAUUGUUGGUUUUUUUUUUUACACUUGAAGAUAAUUUUGUUGUAAAUAAAUCCGAAGAUUAAUUAAAAUUGUAAUGCUAAAGGUAGGAUUGGUGGCUUGUUUCAGAAUAUUAAAAUUUGGAUGAUGAACAAAACGUUACGGCCUAGAUAUCCAGAAAUAAGUUGCUGUGUAAUCCAUUUUAACCAUAUUUGAGUGAAAGUAGGAGAGAUGAAUUACAGUUACUUUCCGUUUGCAUGUUAAUUCUAGUGUAUGGCAAAAGCAAUAUUGUCACAUAUAAUUUUUGUAUCAUUCAAACCAAUAUAAGAUUCAUUACGAUUUAAAACUUUAUAUUUUUAUUCUGAGCUUAAAAAAUUCUUUAAUGAGAACCAGAAUUUUUUAAAAACUUUCUUCUGUUGAUGUUUUGAAUUAAUAAACAAUUGAAUUG